AGAGUUUGAUCCUGGCUCAGGACGAACGCUGGCGGCGCGCCUAACACAUGCAAGUCGAACGGAGCUUAGAGAGCUUGCUUUUUAAGCUUAGUGGCGAACGGGUGAGUAACGCGUGAGUAACCUGCCCUAGAGUGGGGGACAACAGUUGGAAACGACUGCUAAUACCGCAUAAGCCCACGGUACCGCAUGGUACUGAGGGAAAAGGAUUUAUUCGCUUUAGGAUGGACUCGCGUCCAAUUAGCUAGUUGGUGAGGUAACGGCCCACCAAGGCGACGAUUGGUAGCCGGACUGAGAGGUUGAACGGCCACAUUGGGACUGAGACACGGCCCAGACUCCUACGGGAGGCAGCAGUGGGGGAUAUUGCACAAUGGGGGAAACCCUGAUGCAGCGACGCCGCGUGGAGGAAGAAGGUCUUCGGAUUGUAAACUCCUGUUGUUGGGGAAGAUAAUGACGGUACCCAACAAGGAAGUGACGGCUAACUACGUGCCAGCAGCCGCGGUAAAACGUAGGUCACAAGCGUUGUCCGGAAUUACUGGGUGUAAAGGGAGCGCAGGCGGGAAGACAAGUUGGAAGUGAAAUCUAUGGGCUCAACCCAUAAACUGCUUUCAAAACUGUUUUUCUUGAGUAGUGCAGAGGUAGGCGGAAUUCCCGGUGUAGCGGUGGAAUGCGUAGAUAUCGGGAGGAACACCAGUGGCGAAGGCGGCCUACUGGGCACCAACUGACGCUGAGGCUCGAAAGUGUGGGUAGCAAACAGGAUUAGAUACCCUGGUAGUCCACACCGUAAACGAUGAUUACUAGGUGUUGGAGGAUUGACCCCUUCAGUGCCGCAGUUAACACAAUAAGUAAUCCACCUGGGGAGUACGACCGCAAGGUUGAAACUCAAAGGAAUUGACGGGGGCCCGCACAAGCAGUGGAGUAU
rnacentral:rRNA from 1 species